rnacentral:rRNA from 1 species
CAGCAGCCACGGGAACACGUAGGUGGCAAGCGUUGUCCGGAAUUAUUGGGCGUAAAGCGCGCGCAGGCGGAUCAGUUAGUCUGUCUUAAAAGUUCGGGGCUUAACCCCGUGAGGGGAUGGAAACUGCUGAUCUAGAGUAUCGGAGAGGAAAGUGGAAUUCCUAGUGUAGCGGUGAAAUGCGUAGAAAUUAGGAAGAACACCAGUGGCGAAGGCGACUUUCUGGACGAAAACUGACGCUGAGGCGCGAAAGCCAGGGGAGCGAACGGGAUUAGAUACCCCCGUAGUCCCUGUCUCUUAUACC